rnacentral:rRNA from 1 species
UACGUAGGGUGCAAGCGUUAUCCGGAAUUAUUGGGCGUAAAGAGCUCGUAGGCGGUUUGUCGCGUCUGCUGUGAAAACCCGAGGCUCAACCUCGGGCCUGCAGUGGGUACGGGCAGACUAGAGUGCGGUAGGGGAGACUGGAAUUCCUGGUGUAGCGGUGAAAUGCGCAGAUAUCAGGAGGAACACCGGUGGGCGAAGGCGGGUCUCUGGGCCGUAACUGACGCUGGAG